rnacentral:lncRNA from 1 species
UACUUCAUGCAUUUCACAUGGUUAACAGAAUGUUUUGAAAACACAGGCGUUAAUGUAGCAAGUCACAGCAUUUAUGGGUCCUGGGAGGUGAUCUUGAAAACAAAACCGGGAACUCUGGGUUUUGUUUUUCUCUGAAGAGUGACAUAAACAGUUCUAGCCUGUUGAGAUAUGUUUAUAUGGAUCUGUUGAUACACAUUCAUGUUUGUGUGGAUAGGACCACAGCACACAUGCUUAUAUUCAAUGUCUAUGUGUGGGUACACACACACACAAACACAUACACUUUCACACCUUUGAUUCUGGUCUCUGACCAUCUGCCAUGGUUUGCAUGUAAAAAUUUACAUAUACCAAGAACACAGGACUUGAAAAGAAAUGUGUUAGUUAGUUUCUACUUAGUAACACAUUUCUCUCUCUAC